GGGAGUUCGAUCGCCUACAUUUGGUUCGGCCGAACAUGAAAAUCAGCGUCAAGAUCAUUCAUGCUAGGUUGCAAGCUCAGGCAGUCACUUUGGCUGCUCUAGCCGGAGCCGCAGCGGUCGAGUAUUAUGACCGUCGAAUGAAUCCAGAAUCAAAAGAUGACAGAUAUUCAAAUCAAUAUCUGGCUCAUGCCCACAAAGAUUGAACAAAUUAGGCACCUGCUUGCUUCACUUGCUCGCCUCUCAGUACUGCUUCCAGUAUAAAACUAGUUUUUACAGGAAAACUGAACGGAUGAGUUUAGGAUUACAGAAUUAAUCUUUUUUGGUUUAUUUGAGAGUUCUUUGUGACUGAUUUAUAUUGAUGGAUUUAGACAUUGGUAACUGCACUUGAAUGUAUGUUAUGUUGAAUGUUUGAUAAUAAAUAUUUCAUUGUUGA